CUGUUUUGCCUAUAUAUAUAUAACAUUAGCUCCACACAAAACAUGACUCACCAGCAGCAGGUGUCCGGCUGUUAUGUUCGGCAGAUUAGUAAUGAUAGGGAGGGGGCUGCUCUCCCUAUAUGGCAUCCCAGAGGGAACCUAAAAAUAGCUCAGACUUACAGCAAAGUAAAAGUAUUUGUGGGCUUUGAACGAAGUCUGCUUCUGAAGUGGCAUGAAAAUUUUCAGAAUGACUGAGUGAUGUUUUAAGCUACUUCCCUGCAGGAUGCGGAGUCACUUAGCAUCUUCUGCAGCUGAGGCUCUGAAAUACGGGAGGACACUGCAUCUUCCUCAGGGACACGGGCAGGGGAGAGCUGGAGCCUCUGGGGGGCUCGGGAAGGAAUUGUGGUUGGUGGUCGCCUGAGGAACUUCCCUGCACCCCAAUGUUGCUCUGAAACGAGUCGUGUCCAACAGUCAGGUUUGGUAAGGUAUGUAUCUUUUUGUAUUUUUUCCUUUACUCUUGUAUAUUUGCUAUUUUCUGAAUAUGGGGAAAACAGAGCACUAGCAGCCUUUGAGGUUAUUGCUAUAUUCAUGCCAUGCUCAUACUCUGUCUGUAAAUAAGCUUUGCUCUCCCUGAAUUUAGAAAGCAUUCACCAGGAGUGAAGUGUUUUUAUUGUCUUGGGCUUGAGGGGGUGUCUGUUUAUGUGAAG
rnacentral:lncRNA from 1 species